rnacentral:rRNA from 1 species
AACGUAGGAGGCAAGCGUUGUCCGGAUUUACUGGGCGUAAAGCGCACGCAGGCGGCCCAAUGUGUCAGGUGUGAAAGCUCCCGGCUUAACUGGGAGAGGUCAUUUGAAACUAUUGGGCUGGAGUGCAGUAGAGGGAGACGGAAUUCCCGGUGUAGUGGUGAAAUGCGUAGAUAUCGGGAGGAACACCAGUGGCGAAAGCGGUCUCCUGGGCUGUUACUGACGCUGAGGUGCGAAAGCGUGGGGAG